rnacentral:rRNA from 2 species
AAAUUGAAGAGUUUGAUCAUGGCUCAGAUUGAACGCUGGCGGCAGGCCUAACACAUGCAAGUCGAACGGUAACAGGAAGCAGCUUGCUGCUUUGCUGACGAGUGGCGGACGGGUGAGUAAUGUCUGGGAAACUGCCUGAUGGAGGGGGAUAACUACUGGAAACGGUGGCUAAUACCGCAUAACGUCGCAAGACCAAAGAGGGGGACCUUCGGGCCUCUUGCCAUCAGAUGUGCCCAGAUGGGAUUAGCUUGUUGGUGAGGUAACGGCUCACCAAGGCGACGAUCCCUAGCUGGUCUGAGAGGAUGACCAGCCACACUGGAACUGAGACACGGUCCAGACUCCUACGGGAGGCAGCAGUGGGGAAUAUUGCACAAUGGGCGCAAGCCUGAUGCAGCCAUGCCGCGUGUAUGAAGAAGGCCUUCGGGUUGUAAAGUACUUUCAGCGGGGAGGAAGGUGUUGUGGUUAAUAACCGCAGCAAUUGACGUUACCCGCAG